rnacentral:lncRNA from 1 species
CGGGAAUGCGGCAGCGGGCGGCAGCCUUUGUCAGGCGCUUUUUCUGGGAGAGAAAAAGGGGAAAAAAGCAGCUGUAUUUUUUUUCCUCAAGUGUCGGAUGUUCCCUGCGUGUGCAGUGAAACCGGGUGUGCGAUCACUGGCUGUCCCUGUCUGCUGGUUACACGCUCCUCAUUUGAUCUGUCUCUUCUUCAGAUUUUGGAUGCAAGAGAAGUGCUCAGAGAAGGUCUGUUGUUUGUCUCCAUCUCAGCCCAUGUAAAGGUAGCUCACGUGUUGGUGGAAUAAACCAAGGCCACACCUGCA